CUGUGAUUGCAGGCGUGGAGUUCUGUUCCAGCUGUGGAUCUGAGAGCAAAUUGUUAUGACUCAAGUUGAAAAUUGCCAAUUCUACUCUUACGGGAAAUCUCGAUUUUCAUUCAUAAGAUUGCCAGAUAGUUUUGCAGCAGUGAUGGCUCUGUUUGAACUUUUCAGCAUUUACAAACCUGACAGUGGAAGCAGUUGUAAGCUGCAGAAGAUACUUCAUUAGCUGAUGGUGCAAACAGAGAUGUACAUACAAAACUUCACAUAAAGCAGGGAACACUGCACAGACCUGAUAUGCAAGGCUGUUCUUUUUUGACUGAUUUUCUUACUGUGCACUAUGUACUGUAAAUAUAACUUUACUUGUGUAA